AUUGAACGCUGGCGGCAUGCUUUACACAUGCAAGUCGAACGGCAGCGCGGGCUUCGGCCUGGCGGCGAGUGGCGAACGGGUGAGUAAUACAUCGGAACGUGCCCAGUAGUGGGGGAUAGCUCGGCGAAAGCCGGAUUAAUACCGCAUACGACCUGAGGGUGAAAGCGGGGGAUCUUCGGACCUCGCGCUAUUGGAGCGGCCGAUGGCAGAUUAGCUAGUUGGUGGGGUAAAGGCCUACCAAGGCGACGAUCUGUAGCUGGUCUGAGAGGACGACCAGCCAAACUGGGAACGAGACAAGGCCCAGAACCCUAAGGGAGGCAGCAGUGGGGAAUUUUGGACAAUGGGCGAAAGCCUGAUCCAGCAAUGCCGCGUGUGUGAUGAAGGCCUUCGGGUUGUAAAGCACUUUUGGCGGGAACGAAAAGGACUGUGCCAAUACCACGGUUCGAUGACGGUACCCGCAGAAUAAGCACCGGCUAACUACGUG
rnacentral:rRNA from 1 species